UACGAAGGGGGCUAGCGUUGCUCGGAAUCACUGGGCGUAAAGGGUGCGUAGGCGGGUCUUUAAGUCAGGGGUGAAAUCCUGGAGCUCAACUCCAGAACUGCCUUUGAUACUGAGGAUCUUGAGUUCGGGAGAGGUGAGUGGUAACUGCGAGUGUAGAGGUGAAAUUCGUAGAUAUUCGCAAGAACACCAGUGGCGAAGGCGGCUCACUGGCCCGAUACUGACGCUGAGGCACGAAAGCGUGGGGAGCAAACAGG
rnacentral:rRNA from 1 species